UACGUAGGGGGCAAGCGUUGUCCGGAUUUAUUGGGCGUAAAGCGCGUGUAGGCGGCUAGGUAGGUCCGCUGUGAAAACUCGAGGCUCAACCUCGAGAUGUCGGCGGAAACCCUCUGGCUAGAGUCCGGAAGAGGAGAGUGGAAUUCCUGGUGUAGCGGUGAAAUGCGCAGAUAUCAGGAAGAACACCCAUGGCGAAGGCAGCUCUCUGGGACGGUACUGACGCUGAGACGCGAAAGCGUGGGGAGCAAACAGG
rnacentral:rRNA from 1 species